rnacentral:rRNA from 1 species
CAGUGGGGAAUUUUCCGCAAUGGGCGAAAGCCUGACGGAGCAAUGCCGCGUGGAGGUGGAAGGCCUACGGGUCGUCAACUUCUUUUCUCGGAGAAGAAACGAUGACGGUAUCUGAGGAAUAAGCAUCGGCUAACUCUGUGCCAG